GAAUGGAUUUCACCUUCUAAUUACUUGCCCACAUUCUUACCUGCCCUAUCUUCCUCUGACUCUACAAAGCCCAGCUCCACCCCCCUUUCCCCAUCAGUAUCCUCAAACAAAACUAAUGAUCAGAAGCCACUUGAGACCUUAUUGAAAAUAUAAAUUAUUUGAUCCCAUUUCACAAAAUCAGACUUUCAUGUGGACAGAGCCAGGGAAUCCUCUAUUUUAUAAAAUCCCUCCAAAUGAUUCCGGGGCAGUUGGACUAGGGGCAGAAUUUAGGAAAUAAUGCAGACUGUCACCUAAGCGACACAACACAGAUGUGUUGACAAACAUCAGCAAUGUGUUUGACUUACUGCAUCAGACUGAAGAUGGCUGGAGUAGGUCUCACCCUGCAUGUCUUCCUUCUACGAGCAUCUGUGACUCUACUGAGAGGACCGGAAAAAUCAGUCUCUUACUUGCAACCUGAAGAUCUUUCCCUUGUGCUUUGAGUAACACAUCCAACCCUUAACAUAACCUAUUAGGCGGCAUGAUCUGGCUCCAAGGGCCUCACCUCUCAAGCUACUCUUCCCUUUACCUUGUACUAAUUAUUAACUUGUAUACAGGGAGGAUAUCGGUAUAAUUUACCCCCCAAUCUCUACUUUCUCAAUUAAAUUAAGGAUAGGUAUAGAGUUGGGAAACUUUGUGGAGCAAUAGAGACCUGGAAAAUGUCUAAGAAGAAUGGAAAAUGACUUGGCUUAAGAAAAGGGACUGCUGAUCAUCCUCAAAGGCUCAACUGAGUCAAAGAUCGUAUAUCCAUGUUCCUAGGACAAUUACGUUAUUUCCUCCUUAAGCUCAGGAACCCUGGAGCAGAGAAGAUGGACAGUUAUGUCAGUCAGCAUGUGAAUAUUGGCAGAGCAGAAAGUCAAGAAGUGAGCGAAUACAGGUGCUAGUGUAAAAGAAACAAAAUGCCUGGGACAGGCCCAAGAGGAUUCAGUUGAUUUGCUCCAAGACACAGAGGAUGCAAACAUGAGUAGCCUUGCUUUGCCUCACUUGGUCUGUUUGGUAAGCGAGUCACCAUUUUAUUUAAUUCUUGUCUCUGGCUUCUUCACCAGUGGUUCUAAUUCCCGUUCUGUUACGUGCCCCUAGAGCAUUGUGAGUGGCAUACUGCGGCUGGAAGGUGCCCGUGGCAAAGCCGUCUCGGCACCGGGAGAGAAAUGCAAGAAGGUCUUUGUCAGUCAGGUAUCCUACGGGUGAGGCCAAGUAGAUAGGAGAACAGGAUGAAAUGGCAGGUGGGUAAGGAGGUAGCUCUGGGCUUCCAGGAGGAACGAUUCCAUCAUGUCCACCAGUUCCACAGUGUUGAAAACCGGCAACAAGACGUGCUUGCUGACCCUUCCUAUCCCAGAGCCGCAAUCCAAGGCACAGUCCGUCCCAGCUCUCCCGGGCCCCUGCGGAAAGAGUUGGCACUGACUUCAUAUCCUGGCACCGAGCUGCUUCCACGUUCUCUCAUUCACAUGCAGCUCCUCUGAGAAGGGUUAUUUAAAAACUGAUCUCAGGGACAACAUCUCUAGCCUCUUGGACACCACAGCUGCCCGUAACUGUGAUUGGAUUGAAAUUUAAUGCCCUUCCAUGAAUGCGACCAGAACUCCAUGCAAUGUGUGAUUUCAAAACAAGAUGUUUUGUUAUUUUCAUGUUCAUUUAUUAUGUUAUCCUCAUAAUUAUGAGUUCAUAUUAA